rnacentral:tRNA from 1 species
GCCGGCGUAGCUCAGCUGGUAGAGCAGCGCUUUCGUAAAGCGCGGGUCGGGGGUUCAAAUCCCUUCGCCGGCUCUA